rnacentral:rRNA from 1 species
GAACGCGAAGAACCUUACCAGGUCUUGACAUCCCUCUGACCGCUCUAGAGAUAGAGCUUUCCUUCGGGACAGAGGUGACAGGUGGUGCAUGGUUGUCGUCAGCUCGUGUCGUGAGAUGUUGGGUUAAGUCCCGCAACGAGCGCAACCCCUAUUGUUAGUUGCCAUCAUUCAGUUGGGCACUCUAGCGAGACUGCCGGUAAUAAACCGGAGGAAGGUGGGGAUGACGACAAAUCAUCAUGCCCCUUAUGACCUGGGCUACACACGUGCUACAAUGGCUGGUACAACGAGUCGCAAGCCGGUGACGGCAAGCUAAUCUCUUAAAGCCAGUCUCAGUUCGGAUUGUAGGCUGCAACUCGCCUACAUGAAGUCGGAAUCGCUAGUAAUCGCGGAUCAGCACGCCGCGGUGAAUACGUUCCCGGGUCUUGUACACACC